rnacentral:lncRNA from 1 species
CGGUCGCGAGAACAUUUACAAACUGAAGCCUCCCCAUUUUUCUUUCCUCGCAUCCUCUUUCUGCCCGCAUUCUCUCAAUCAAGCUAUAUCCGUCGCUCUUCCACCGACUCAGCUCCUUCUUAUAACCCUUAUCUUAGUCGAACGCAAUCAUGGGCUACGGCGAGAUUGACCAGAAGGCCAUUAAUACUAUCCGCCUUCUUGCGGUUGAUGCUACAUUCCACAGCAAUUCGGGCCAUCCGGGAGCCCCCAUGGGCAUGGCUCCCGUGGCCACGUACUUUUCAAUAAGUUCAUGAAAUUCACCCUAAGAAACCCUAAGUGGUUGAACAGGGAUCGCUUCGUUUUU